GUGCCAGCCGCCGCGGUAAUACGUAGGGUGCGAGCGUUAAUCGGAAUUACUGGGCGUAAAGGGUGCGCAGGCGGUUUUGUAAGCCAGAUGUGAAAUCCCCGGGCUCAACCUGGGAAUGGCAUUUGGGACUGCAAGGCUAGAGUGUGGCAGAGGAGACUGGAAUUCCUGGUGUAGCAGUGAAAUGCGUAGAUAUCAGGAGGAAUACCGAUGGCGAAGGCAGGUCUCUGGGUUAACACUGACGCUCAUGCACGAAAGCGUGGGGAGCAAACAGGAUUAGAUACCCCAGUAGUCC
rnacentral:rRNA from 1 species